rnacentral:rRNA from 1 species
GCUCAACCGAGGAAGUGCUUCGAAAACUGGUAAACUUGAGUGCAGAAGAGGAAAGUGGAACUCCAUGUGUAGCGGUGGAAUGCGUAGAUAUAUGGAAGAACACCAGUGGCGAAGGCGGCUUUCUGGUCUGUAACUGACGCUGAGAUUCGAAAGCAUGGGUAGCAAACAGGAUUAGAUACCCUGGUAGUCCAUGCCGUAAACGAUGAGUGCUAAGUGUUGGAGGGUUUCCGCCCUUCAGUGCUGCAGCUAACGCAUUAAGCACUCCGCCUGGGGAGUACGACCGCAAAGUUGAAACUCAAAGGAAUUGACGGGGGCCCGCACAAGCGGUGGAGCAUGUGGUUUAAUUCGAAGCAACGCGAAGAACCUUACCAGGUCUUGACAUACCAUGAAAAGCUUAGAGAUAAGUCUUUCCCUUCGGGGACAUGGAUACAGGUGGUGCAUGGUUGUCGUCAGCUCGUGUCGUGAGAUGUUGGGUUAAGUCCCGCAACGAGCGCAACCCUUAUUAUCAGUUGCCAGCAUUCAGUUGGGCACUCUGGUGAGACUGCCGGUGACAAACCGGAGGAAGGUGGGGACGACGUCAAAUCAUCAUGCCCCUUAUGACCUGGGCUACACACGUGCUACAAUGGUCGGUACAACG